UUGUCUUUCCUUUCUACAUGGAGCACCAUCAGGGGCAGGUCUCGGAUUCUGUGAUGCAGUGCCCUAAGAAUCACCUGACUUUCAUGAGGUCAUGAACCAGGCAUGGCCAAGGAGAAGGAUAAUGCCUGAGAUGGAAUAGAGAUGAACCAGCUGCUUGACCUCCAGCUACUUAGAAGGAUUAAGCCUCUCUCAUUAGCUUCCAACAUGCCUUCCCAUUGAGUCUCCAGCCUCCAGCACGCCCUCCCAUUGAGAAC
rnacentral:lncRNA from 1 species